AACCAUUCAAAAUACAUCCCAAUAAUACAUCCCUAUUCACAAUUUAUUUUCCAUAAGAACCACUUGUUUAAAAAUGUAGACUAACAAACAAAUGCUCUCUCAAUCACUUUCCUUCACUGUUCACAACCUAUGCAUAUUACAGAAACCAAUUCUGUGAAACCUUGCUAUAAACAAAAGAAAGGAGCAAAACUAAAGGUAAAACGACACCUGACUAUCUAAGGCACAAUGUGAUUGUGCAGAAAAAUAAUAAUUCAAAUCUUCAUCCAACCAACCCCUCAGAAAUCUAUAGCUAAUGCUAACAAGCCGAUCACAUACAAGCUCACCCGUAAUCCCGCCAGCCCUUUCGUUGUAUCUUUCAUUUCCCACCUUUUUGACU
rnacentral:lncRNA from 1 species